UUGGCCUACAUCAGAUCUACCAUCAAGGGAAGGUAUGGAGACUCCGGAAAGUGACCAGUUCAAUCAUACUCAGGAAAUGCAGUGUCCAUCAACUGUGGGCAGGCGAAGUGUGGAGAUGAAAAGUGUCGCGAAGGAGUUCUUCUGUCUCACUGAUGAGACAGACCAAGGGAGGGUGAGUGUGUCAAUACGUGGAGCCAGUAUGAGGAGCAGCCACGCUCCUGGACACUGCAAAGGGAGUGAAUCUGUGCUGCGCAGGACUGUGACCUUGGAUUAUAAUGAUGGUGAUGACUAUGAUGAUACAGAGGGAAUCGCUGAACAUACAACAAAACCAGAAGUCACAGAAGAAUGGAUGUCAGUCAUGGGGGCAAAACUCCCAGAGUUACCAGUUCAUAAAAAGGAGACCUCAAGAACGAAAUGUGAGUCUCCAAAAGAAUAUAUUCAGCUCCAAAGUGAUAAAGGGAUGAGUGUACCAGAAACACAGACAAGGAUGAAAGAUCAGGCCAAGAUACUGCCAUUUCAAUGA
rnacentral:lncRNA from 1 species